UGGGAAUUUUGGACGAAUGGGCGAAGCCUGAUCCAGCAAUGCCGCGUGUGUGAAGAAGGCCUUCGGGUUGUAAAGCACUUUUGUCCGGAAAGAAAUCCUUGGCUCUAAUACAGUCGGGGGAUGACGGUACCGGAAGAAUAAGCACCGGCUAACUACGUGCCAGCAGCCGCGGUAAUACGUAGGGUGCAAGCGUUAAUCGGAAUUACUGGGCGUAAAGCGUGCGCAGGCGGUUUGCUAAGACCGAUGUGAAAUCCCCGGGCUCAACCUGGGAACUGCAUUGGUGACUGGCAGGCUAGAGUAUGGCAGAGGGGGGUAGAAUUCCACGUGUAGCAGUGAAAUGCGUAGAGAUGUGGAGGAAUACCGAUGGCGAAGGCAGCCCCCU
rnacentral:rRNA from 1 species